rfam:Streptomyces albulus strain NK660, complete genome.
GGCCAAGUUUUUAAGGGCGCACGGUGGAUGCCUUGGCACCAGGAACCGAUGAAGGACGUGGGAGGCCACGAUAGGCCCCGGGGAGCUGUCAACCGAGCUUUGAUCCGGGGGUGUCCGAAUGGGGAAACCCGGCAGUCGUCAUGGGCUGUCACCCGCUGCUGAACACAUAGGCAGUGUGGAGGGAACGCGGGGAAGUGAAACAUCUCAGUACCCGCAGGAAGAGAAAACAACCGUGAUUCCGGGAGUAGUGGCGAGCGAAACUGGAUGAGGCCAAACCAGUCACGUGUGAUACCCGGCAGGGGUUGCGUGGUUGGGGUUGUGGGAUCUCUCUUUUGCAGUCUGCCGGCUGUGAGGCGAGUCAGAAACCGUUGAUGUAGGCGAAGGACAUGCGAAAGGUCCGGCGUAGAGGGUAAGACCCCCGUAGCUGAAACAUUAGCGGCUCGUUUGAGAGACACCCAAGUAGCACGGGGCCCGAGAAAUCCCGUGUGAAUCUGGCGGGACCACCCGUUAAGCCUAAAUAUUCCCUGGUGACCGAUAGCGGAUAGUACCGUGAGGGAAUGGUGAAAAGUACCGCGGGAGCGGAGUGAAAUAGUACCUGAAACCGUGUGCCUACAAGCCGUGGGAGCGUCGCGCAGAGAACUUGUUCUUUGCGUCGUGACUGCGUGCCUUUUGAAGAAUGAGCCUGCGAGUUUGCGGUAUGUUGCGAGGUUAACCCGUGUGGGGAAGCCGUAGCGAAAGCGAGUCCGAAUAGGGCGUGGAGUAGCAUGCUCAAGACCCGAAGCGGAGUGAUCUAGCCAUGGGCAGGUUGAAGCGGAGGUAAGACUUCGUGGAGGACCGAACCCACCAGGGUUGAAAACCUGGGGGAUGACCUGUGGUUAGGGGUGAAAGGCCAAUCAAACUCCGUGAUAGCUGGUUCUCCCCGAAAUGCAUUUAGGUGCAGCGUCGUGUGUUUCUUGCCGGAGGUAGAGCACUGGAUAGGCGAUGGGCCCUACCGGGUUACUGACCUUAGCCAAACUCCGAAUGCCGGUAAGUGAGAGCGCGGCAGUGAGACUGUGGGGGAUAAGCUCCAUGGUCGAGAGGGAAACAGCCCAGAGCAUCGACUAAGGCCCCUAAGCGUGUGCUAAGUGGGAAAGGAUGUGGAGUCGCAGAGACAACCAGGAGGUUGGCUUAGAAGCAGCCACCCUUGAAAGAGUGCGUAAUAGCUCACUGGUCAAGUGAUUCCGCGCCGACAAUGUAGCGGGGCUCAAGUACACCGCCGAAGUCGUGUCAUUGCGAUAUUACUCCUAACGGGGAUCGUGAUGGGUAGGGGAGCGUCGUGUGCCGGGUGAAGCAGCCGUGGAAACGAGUUGUGGACGGUUCACGAGUGAGAAUGCAGGCAUGAGUAGCGAUACAAGAGUGGGAAACUCUUGCGCCGAUUGACUAAGGGUUCCUGGGUCAAGCUGAUCUGCCCAGGGUAAGUCGGGACCUAAGGCGAGGCCGACAGGCGUAGUCGAUGGACAACCGGUUGAUAUUCCGGUACCCGCUUUGAAGCGCCCAAUACUGAAUCAGGCGAUGCUAAGUCCGUGAAGCCGCCCUGAUCUCUUCGGAGUUGAGGGGAGUGGUGGAGCCGACGGACCAGACUUGUAGUAGGUAAGCGAUGGGGUGACGCAGGAAGGUAGUCCAGCCCGGGCGGUGGUUGUCCCGGGGUAAGGGUGUAGGCCGUGUGGUAGGUAAAUCCGUCGCACGUUAAGGCUGAGACCUGAUGCCGAGCCGAUUGUGGUGAAGUGGAUGAUCCUAUGCUGUCGAGAAAAGCCUCUAGUGAGUUUCAAGGCGGCCCGUACCCUAAACCGACUCAGGUGGUCAGGUAGAGAAUACCGAGGCGUUCGGGUGAACUAUGGUUAAGGAACUCGGCAAAAUGCCCCCGUAACUUCGGGAGAAGGGGGGCCAUUUCUGGUGAGGGAACUUGCUUCCUGAGCUGGGGGUGGCCGCAGAGACCAGCGAGAAGCGACUGUUUACUAAAAACACAGGUCCGUGCGAAGCCGUAAGGCGAUGUAUACGGACUGACGCCUGCCCGGUGCUGGAACGUUAAGGGGACCGGUUAGCUCCAUUUCGGUGGGGCGAAGCUGAGAACUUAAGCGCCAGUAAACGGCGGUGGUAACUAUAACCAUCCUAAGGUAGCGAAAUUCCUUGUCGGGUAAGUUCCGACCUGCACGAAUGGCGUAACGACUUCUCGACUGUCUCAACCAUAGGCCCGGUGAAAUUGCAUUACGAGUAAAGAUGCUCGUUUCGCGCAGCAGGACGGAAAGACCCCGGGACCUUUACUAUAGCUUGAUAUUGGUGUUCGGUUCGGCUUGUGUAGGAUAGGUGGGAGACUGUGAAGCGCCAACGCCAGUUGGUGUGGAGUCGUUGUUGAAAUACCACUCUGGUCGUGCUGGAUGUCUAACCUGGGUCCGUGAUCCGGAUCAGGGACAGUGUCUGGUGGGUAGUUUAACUGGGGCGGUUGCCUCCUAAAGAGUAACGGAGGCGCCCAAAGGUUCCCUCAGCCUGGUUGGUAAUCAGGUGUUGAGUGUAAGUGCACAAGGGAGCUUGACUGUGAGACUGACGGGUCGAGCAGGUACGAAAGUAGGGACUAGUGAUCCGGCGGUGGCUUGUGGAAGCGCCGUCGCUCAACGGAUAAAAGGUACCCCGGGGAUAACAGGCUGAUCUUCCCCAAGAGUCCAUAUCGACGGGAUGGUUUGGCACCUCGAUGUCGGCUCGUCGCAUCCUGGGGCUGGAGUCGGUCCCAAGGGUUGGGCUGUUCGCCCAUUAAAGCGGUACGCGAGCUGGGUUUAGAACGUCGUGAGACAGUUCGGUCCCUAUCCGCUGUGCGCGUAGGAGUCUUGAGAAGGGCUGUCCCUAGUACGAGAGGACCGGGACGGACGAACCUCUGGUGUGCCAGUUGUUCUGCCAAGGGCAUGGCUGGUUGGCUACGUUCGGAAAGGAUAACCGCUGAAAGCAUCUAAGCGGGAAGCCUGCUUCGAGAUGAGGGCUCCCUCCUCCUUGAGAGGGUAAGGCUCCCAGUAGACGACUGGGUUGAUAGGCCAGAUAUGGAAGCACUGUAAGGUGUGGAGUUGACUGGUACUAAUAGGCCGAGGGCUUGUCCUC